UUCGUGAGUGGCAAACGUUAUCCGGAAUCACUGGGCGUAAAGCGUCCCUAGGGGGCGAUGUAAGUGCAGUGUUAAAUUCACUAGCUCAACUGGUGGCAUGCGCUGUAUACUGCAUUGCUUGAGGUAUGUAGAGGUGAGCGGAAUUUCCAGAGUAGGGGUAAUAUCCGUAGAUACUGGAAGGAACACCAAUAGCGAAGGCAGCUCACUGGACAUUACCUGACCCUGAAUGACGAAAGCGUGGGGAGCGAACCGG
rnacentral:rRNA from 1 species